AACAACAAUAUUUUUCUAAAUAUGUUGUUAAGAUGCCUGAACAUUACUUUAAUUAAUUAAUUAUUUCAAUUAUUAUUAUUUCAAUAUAUAAUAUAAAUAUUAUAAUUAUACUAUUAUUAUAAGUAUUUCAAUAUAAGAUUCUUAAACUUACUAUUUUUAUAGUGUUAUGAGUUUAUGUUAGGACAUUUAUUUUUGCCCCCAUUUCCUCAAUGGCUUGUAUGAACCAAUUUUUUGCAAUUAUAUGAAAACCUGGUCUUUUCAAAAUAAACUUCAAAUAAACAAAAUAAAAAUCAUCGUCACAGGAAACAAGAUGAAGGUUAGGUUUAGGCUGGGAAAGAAAAGACCUUUGUUUAGGUUCCGUUACGGACGUACUUAAAUCACCAAAAAAAUUGACGCUGAAUUGGUUUGAAAGUGGGUGAGAUCCUGGGAUUACUUCAUCCAUCCUCCUCUUCCACCCGCUGUUUGAGGACUUUGUCCUUCUUUUCACUAGUUGCUCUGAGCUUCUACUAAUGACACAAAUGGGUUUAUGUGGGAUUUAAUCGAAAGUCCGGUGCUUCUUGUACAGAUGCUAUAGAGUGCCUCGGUGUCAAACAGGGCUGACGCACCAGUCUGAAUUCUUGGUUAUCUGUUGGCUUGUAGAUUUGGGAAUCCACGAGCCACAGUGGCCUGCUGACCAAUGUAUCCAAAGCCGAAGAGUUGGGUGUGAGAACAGGGUGGUUGCUGUGAUGCCAUCACCGGGUACAAAACAAAAAAAACAAUGCGGUUACUGCUUUAACAUCUCAAGAAUAAAUCUGUUUGGAAUUCAAAAAAAUGUGCCACACAUAAACAGGGUUUUCAUUUUAGAUACAGGUUUAAUUGAAGUAAAUGUUUGUGUCCACUACAGUCCCUCCUCCAGGUGUGCAGCUUUUCAUAUAUUAUCUGUUUGUGUGUGUUUGUGUGUCUCUGUGUUUGUGUGUGCAUGGGUGUGUGCGUAUGACUAAUCACACACACAUAGCCACACAUCAGAUCAGUAAAAGGACCCCCUCCCCCUCUUUGGCCCACUCUUCCUUCGCAUCAUGCUUCUUUCACUUCUCUUUGUCUUUCAUUCUUCCUCCUUCCUCUUCUUGCUUGUUUUUACCUGUACUGAUGUCUCCUCCAUUGUCUUCCUACUUCUUCCUUUUUCUUCCUUCUCUUGUUAUUGUUCCUAAUCUGUUACCGGUCCUACUCCUCGUCUCCUCUCCUCUCCCAAGGACUUCUUUUCCUACAUUUUUUUGACAAGUAACUUUAAAUUAUACAGCCCAAUAACACAAAUCCCAAAUAGCCCACGACAUCCACCAUGUUUUCCUUCCGUCCUCCUCUUCGCUUCUCCUCUUCCUCCCCUCCGCCUCCUGUCACAUUUCCCCCUCGUCAGACUCAUCUCCAUGUUUUUACUCCUCAUCAUGCUUUUAGUUCACGCUUCACUUCCUUCCUCCUCAUCUCAUUGCCCUCUUGCCUCUAAUUACCCACCUUUAAUGCCUCCUACUAUUUCCCCUCCAGCUCCAUCUCAGUCCUCUUUUUGAUUUAAUCUCUCUCUCCCUGCUUGCCUCCCACUCUUUGUCGUCUUUCUUUUCCUUUUACUUCUUCUGUCCUCCCAUUUGUCUUCUUCCGCAAAUUUUUUCUUUCCACCCACCCGUCCUCCUCCUUUUCCCCAAUAUUUUCACACCCUCUUUCUCUAUCUCUCCCCUUGUAAUGCACAUUGUUUUCAUGCUAUUUUAUGUUCCUUCCAGCUUGACUUAUUCUCUGUAUCCCACACACGCCCUUUACAAUUUGCACAGGCUUUCACCUCCUUUUGUCUUACAUCCUUUUCCAAAUUCUCUUUUCUCCUAACUUACGUCUCCUUUUUUCAUUCACUUUCUUUCUCUCCUCCUACUCCUCCUAACUCGGCCUCCAUGGUUAUUCCAUCAGUCAACAUUGAUUAGAUAUCAAAGUUAAUCCCAGCUAAACUCCACUGCUUAUAGCCCGCUCGCCUCAACCAAUCAGCCACUUGCUGCCAACAUGGGCGUCCUGAAAUGUGUCCUGAAAUGUGUCCUGAUUGGUCACCGGUCCCUGUAGCCUGUUGCAUGAGACACAGCAUACGUCCAAAAAUAGGCAAGCAGGGAUGGAUGAGCAGGAAAUUAAUUUGACGGGUAUCGCUGAGAUCACUCACACACACACACACACACACACACACUUCUCCUAACCCAUGACAUACAAAUGUUCUCUCAAGAACACACACAGAUACAUGAAAAUGUUUUGGAACCAUUUACUGUACAUAUGUCAGUAAGCAUGCUCUCAAACGUACACUUGCUAACUCGCCGUAGCUAAGCAUGGAGAGGCACACAAAGGCUAUAUUUUGUAUGUAUACGUUUUUUCUAUUUCUAACAUGUUAGUCAAACAUCAAGUCAUUGUCCAAAUUCUUCACAUAGUGAAAGAGAAGUCUGUGUGGACAAAACUGAAACAGAAAAAUUACCAUUUAAUUACCACAUUUUUCAAAAUCUAUGAACUCUUACUUUUACUCCGCCAUCAGCAAAACCCUUUAUAUCCGCAGCAGAGUUUUCAAAACUGUUUUCAAAAUGAAACACCAAAACUUAAUACUGGCAAGUUUCAUGCACAUCAGCAGUAACUGUAUUGAAAUAUAUAAAAGUGUCUAAUGUGUAAAAUAAAGUCAACUAAGAGCGUAGGUCACUGAAUGGUUAAACUAACACAGACCCUCACACAAGGGACCUCUGCUCAUGCCCAAUGUGUAACCAAGUGAAAGGUGACUUAUUAAGGCUUAGUUUUGUUACUUUUUUUUUGACAAACAUUUAUUUAAAUCUUUUCCUGAGCCUUGCCACAUCCCCAACCAAUCACAUUUAGAAUGUAAUUAAACCUACUUAGAAUGUAUGGAUGUAACAAACAGUGGUGACCUAAUGUGUACACCACCUCCACACAACUUGGUUGCGUGGUUUUAGUUUCGUAAUUAUUUGACCUCAAGAAAUGGCUAAAGGCUGAGGUCCAAGUAGCUUUUUUAAGGUAAACUGGAAGUUUAAGAGAGAAGACGUAGAAGGGAUUUUCCUGCUUCUAGAUCUAGCAUUUUAAACGAUGUGGAAGUCAGAUAUAAAAAGGUAUCCAGUAUAUUGUCUUAAAUAUUGUGCAUUCGAAUUAAAAAAAUUCUAAUACCUAACUUUGUUGUCCAACCGUUUUUUACCCAAAUCAUGGUUGGUUUUUACUGUUUCCCAACAGCCGGCAAAUAUGUGCUUGUUACAUCCGUCUUCACAGGAAAUAUAGAAUAGGCAACAGAACCAAUGGGAUAAGUAGAGGGGAAAAACAUGGUAGAUGUUUACAUGACUCUCUUUAGUGAGUGACAUACGACUCACAACACCAGGGACUCAUGUGUGUAUGGACUGAAGGGACAAAACGUUUACUUUUAGUUUCUCUCGGGAUAUAAAUUGUCGAUAAACUUGACGUGUGUGUGUGUGUAUUGAUCUCCAAUUCCAGGGGGGCAAUGUAUCCUUAUACAUACAUACAUAGAUACAUAUAACACAACAGCGUUUGGUGGUUUUACGUAAGUAGGACUUCCAUAACAGGUACAGAUUCGCUAUGUCUUCCAGAAAAAAUAAUGGUGGAAGGUUCAACUAUUUUUAAGGUGAUGAGCAACGUCCCCCUCUCUCUGUCGCGUCAAAGGCAAAUGAUGCAACUCAUGCGAAUUGACCAGAAAUUAUUCCCCGCGACUUCCUGCCGCUUUUAGAGCUUUUGGGGCGGCGCAAAACAUUUGUUUCAUGUUUGGUGUGAACACAGCAUUAGGAAACAAGAAUACUUAGGUUUAGGUUAAAAACAAACUAACUAAUUAUGGACGACUAGCUGAAUGAUUUCUAGUUGUUGGAGCCAUCCACCUCCACCUAUUUGAGGAGGUGAUGGAAAGGGUUGCCGAUCAGACUGUAUAAUAAUAUUGUUUCCCAAGGCCCUGUUCCUCGUACGUGGUUCAACUAAGUCGAUCAAAUGUCCCAUUAUCCAGCUCAAAUUGACGAGAUGAUUGACAUCAGGCUAUCUCGGUUCCUCGAAGGCGGAUCGGCGCUCAAACAGUCUUGCUAGUUUGAACCAGAUGUCAGUCAUCAGGAUAAUCAGGCAUUCAUUCUUACAUCAGAAGGCAGAAGAGUCCAGAGUCCAGAGUCACUGAAACCAGGAUUUUUAACGGAUAAACUCAAAGGAAGAGUGUCUUUUUUUCCACCGCUGACGAGCAGGGGAUAAUCAUGAAUUCAUGUAAUUUGUGUUGGAUAAAUUGAGCCUAAUGUACAUCUUUUACGUUGUUCAUUCUGUAUGUCCAUCGCAGUCUGUCCGUCCCGGGGAGGAUCCUCCUCUGUCUCACUAAAGGUUUCUUCCCUUUAUUCUCCCCAUCGAAGGCUUUUUUAUUGUUUGGGGCGUUUUUCCUAACUUCCUCCUUCCUGCCGAUGUGAGGGUUUCUGCAGAGAGGAUGUCUCAUGUGUACAGACUGUAAAGACCUCUGAGGCUAAUUUGUGAUUUUGUGCUUUACAAAAUAAUCAAAUAAUCAUGGCAAGUGUUGGGAAAAUGUAAGUGCCUCAUCACUUUCUUUAAAUGUGUCUGCUUACAGGAGGCUUCGUGGAUGCAUCAUCAUCCAAUGAGAAUAAUGAUUCUCUUUCAGAAUAUGUAGAUGAAAACAAGCCCAAACAAUCUAAUUGAUACGAAUGAAUAGGAUAUAUGUACUGUAUCACCUUAUGUAUCAUAUGUAUGUGUAGAUGACCAAAUAGAACUAGCAGUUUUAUAUGUGUGUGAAGGUGUAUGGAAGAAUCAGUAUAGUGGUAAAAAGUUUACAUACACUUGUAAAGAACAUAAUGUCAUGGCUCUCUUGAGUUUCCCAUUAUUUUUACAAGUCUAAUUUUUCUCUGAGAGUGAUUGGAACAGAUACUUCUUUGUCACAAAAAACAUGAAGUUUGGUUCUUUUGUGAUCAAAAAGUGAUCAAAUCGUGUGUCAGACAGUGUGUGAAACAUCAGAGAGUGUGGGAGACAGUAUGUGAGAUAGUAUGAGAGACAGUGGGAGACAGUGUGUGGGACAGUGGACGCUCGGCUGCAGCGUGUGGUGUUCAUCACGUAACGUAACGGGGAAAUCUUCUUGUAAAUAAAUGAUUCCUUGUAACGGGUCUUAGUGAUCUCUGAGAACUGUCUCCCUAUAAAACGUUCAUCUAACUGAUGUCGCUCCUUCAUCAAUGAGGAAGAGAGCUGCCCUUUUUUCCGGGGGAGUGAUGAACUAAUCCAGCAGCUCAGAUGAACCUGCGCCGGAGCAGGUUCACGUUUUUCGAUGUGUUGCUAUGGUGAUUUAGACAAACCUGCUUUGGGGAACCCGAAAAGCCUGAUCUACGUCAUCUCAUCCUGAAAAUGAUCCGGCUAACUCAGUCAGUCACGUAUGAGGAACAGGGCCCAGGUUCAUAUGGAUUUGAGAGGGCAUCAAUAAACAAGGUUUCAUUCAAAUCAAAAAUUUAACAAUUUUGUAUAAAUUAUACAGACCAUUCAAUUGUGUGAGUAUCUAUGAUGCCCGCUAACACACAUGCUCAAUACUCACACACAUAUUCACGUGAAGCUCAAGAGGUGUUUGCCCUAAUGCGUGGCGAUGAGUGAGUGGGAGGGAAGAACCCUUCGCGUGUGUGUGUUUGUCCGUUCUGAUAAUUCACAGCUGCCUGCUCAGUGCUGAGCUAAGAUAACAUAGAUGACUUCACAGUGAAAUCCCCCACAAAUCCAUCUGCUUCUGUGUGUGUGUGUGUGUGUGUGUGUGUAGGUGCAUGCACACACACACAGCAUAGCAUGUCCUACUCCAUUCACAUAAUGUAAUCCUUUCAAAUCUCCCAAACUUUUCUUAUUUUUAAUAUCUUAGUAUGUUCUCCUCCGUGCAGAGAGAAAAAAGAUAUAUCAUAUAUUAAUAUACUAUCCUUAAACUCAAUUCAUUUGAUGCCACCAUAACAUAUAUAGAAGAUAUAGAACAGUGUCUGGGGGAAACUUAAGCCGAUUUCCCUGGUAUCCAGCCACCCUUGCAUUUUGCCUAAUUAGUCAAAGUCAUUUUUUUGCAGGACAUCUCAGCGAAAUCAGGUCAAAUAUUUGUAAAUGAGGCGGAUUUUCAAAUAGUUAUCCAACUGUACUGUUACUAUACGGCAUUAUGUCAUCAGUGUAUGAAUGGGUGAAUGACGAGAUUUAGCACUAAAGCGAUUUGAGUGGUUCUCACAGUCCAUCUGCAGUCCAUUUGCCAUUCAUGAAUCUUAUUACCUCAACACCAACUACUGUCCUCUAUAUUCAUUAGACUGUCAAUCACCGUUUAUGACCCCCUAAUACCAAAUGAUAUCUCUUUUUCAAAGGUCCCUAAGCCUCAUUUACUAUCUUAAAGACCAUCCUAUAUACUACAGGGAUCAUUUAGAAAUACUGUCUUUCAUUUCUUAACCACAUUCCAACUCCAUUCCUGAAGCAAUUAGCAUCCACAAAACUAUUUAUUAACCAAUUUACCGACCACAGCACCACUCAAAUUAACAAUUUUCAAUACCAUUGUGCGUGUCUAUGAUAUAAACCAUGCAUCCCUCAGGCACUAGUUUCUACUCCCCGCAGCUUUUACUGUCGCUACCAAUGCAAGACCAUUUACUAUCCACAACCCCAGACGCUUUUCUAGUCUUCUGACCACUCAAAGCGCUUUAACACUACAUGACAUCAUUCACCCAUUCAUACGCUGAUGACAGGAGAACCACACACAGUGACACCUGCCAUCAGUAACUACCAUUCACACACUGUAGUCAAAGCUACAGGAGCAAUGUUGGGUUAAGUGUCUUGCCCAAGGACACAACGACAUGCGGGUUAGCAGAGCCUGGGAUCGAACCGACAACCCUCUGAUUGGAGGACGACCGUGCUCCCCACUCACCCACAGUCGCCCCCAAAUAUAAAAUAUUCCACAUAUUACUCUUUAACACUACCACCAUUUAGCAAGCCUGUCAAACAUCUUUUUUUCUCUCUAUCUAUGUCGAUCGGUUUUCUGGUAUAUUCAGCUCUUUUCCUCUGUCUGAUAUCCCUCCGAUGGUUAUUUAUUACCCACCAGCCCCGGCUUUAGCAAGGCACGGCAAGUCUGGUCACUGUGUCCUCAGGCAAACUCUCUGUGUGGGUACACGUUACCCCCUCUUUCUCCCUCUAUCCAUGCCCCCCUCUCCCUCUCCCUCUCUCUCUGCUUGGUUGAUUCCGCUGUCUGACACCUUGUCUGUCUCAUUGCUCCCUCUGUCUUACCUUCCGUCUGUGUUUUUUUACCAGCCGCUUUCCUUUUUCUGCUGUUUUUUUCCUCUGUCUGUGUCCCUGUUUAUACAGAGACACGCACACGCUGCUCAAACCAGAGGCAGAGGACUCUCUCUAGACAUCUCUGUGUCUGGUGACAUCCAGACGACAUUGGACUGUGAGUGUGUUGGUUUUUUGUGCUUGUGCAAGUGUGUUAAGAUGUUUGUUAUUCCUCCACUUGUUUGCAUGUGUCUUUAUUGGACAGACGGACAUAUAGCUGGAUACUGAGACGAUAGACAGUAGGAUCUUUGCAGAUGCAUGUUUCUACUCCAGCAGAAACAUAAAGGAUGUUUUGAAGAAAUUAAAUGAUGGAGAAAUAAAAGAAGGAAAGCAGCAGUGGAGUGAGGUUGAGGUAUGGGGGUAGGAGAGUGAGAUGGGAUGCUAGAGACUUUUUGGAAGUGGGGAUGAAGUAAAUGCAGAGGUGUAGGUAGAAGGAUUCGAAAAUGAGGGAACGAGGGGGAUAGAGAUUUCAGAGGGAAUUAGAGAUUAAAUCAUGACGGCAUGUUUGUCACUUUCCCCUAAAGGUAUAGUGUGUAUGCGCAUGUAAAUGUGCGUGUGUGUGUAUGUGUGUGCGUGCAAAUACAGCCACUUACAGCUGUGGAGCUUAAUUAGCCUUCAACAGCCCACUAAUUAGCUUGUUUUAAACUACAAGACCAUAGGAUUUUCUGUUUUCCACUGUGAGUGGGCUACUGGGCGAGCAUAGCUGGAGUAACUUCAUAAAAUCAUAUUUGGUGCUGAUAUGAUGGUUUGAGCAUUGAUGAGAAGAUGAGUAAAGCUACAAUAUUCUGCCCGAAGAGGAUAACUUUACAACAACAGAUUACAUUAUAGAGUCUAACAUAUUAAUAGGGGUAUCUGUGGCUCAGUGGAAGAGCAGUCAGAGGAUUGGCAGUCCCUGUCUCUGGCUGUCCAUAUCCAUGUCCAUGGCAAUAGCAUGGAAACAGCCUAAACUGUGAGUGAUGACAUAGUGUUGACAUUGCUUUAAGUGGUCAAAAGACUAGAAAAGUCUAUUUAUCAUAACACAUCCUCGGUCAGUAAUUUGGGGUUCUACUAGAACAUCGUUAAAUGUGAUAAUAAUUUAUGAGGACGUUUACUAAAAGUGGUUAUCAAAGGAAUACAAUACAUUAUCAACAAAGCAUUUUGUUAUUACUAACAUGAGGCUAAAAGAAGUAAACAAAUAAUCUUCUGGAAAAGUUCUUCCUUGAAUUAACAAUUUCAAACAUUCCCUAGUUUUCUUAAUAGGUUAUUUGACUAAUCAGACAUAGUUUGGGUGGUUUGGAGUGGGGUGGUUUGAGGUAAGUUCAAUUGGAUUCAUUUAUAGCCCAAAAUAAUCAAGUUUCCCUCAGAGGGCUUUAUAAUCUUUACACAUAGUCAGUGUAUUACCCAGAGGCGUUUGGUACUGCCCAAGUUUUGAGAAACAGACCAGCAUGAUCAGCCGUUUGGUGAACCUGCCUUGCACCAUCCCAUUUCCAGUCUCCAGUGGGUGGCAGUGCUGAGGCCACCAGGUGAGUAAGUUGCAGGUUCACUGUUGUUUGAUUGUAUUUUUUCUUUAUUUAUAUUUAUGUAUUUUUUACACAAAACUACACACAUUUGCUCAUCUUCAAGGCAGAAUUCCACCAGGUGCAACAUGUUGAACUAGCGACUCUUCCUGCUGUCCUCGUGCACAUUUCUGUGCUCUCAACUCUCCAUCAUUUGACGGGCUGUGUUUCAAGUGCCAACAAUCUCCAAACAUUCAGCCAGGAUUUCCACACAAGUCUUUUAGUGCAACAGUGGUGGAACUCAGACUGUGUGCCGCGGAGGGUAACUUAACCUACAUGUUGAGAUGGCAGUAGCCUAGCAGCGAGCUUAGCCUAGCAGCUAGCUUAACGUUGCAGUGCAUGAAGUUGUCCUUUUGCCACCAAUCCCCCAUUCUGUUUGACACAUGGAGGAAUUCUUCUCCACAGUUCUGCGCUGUAUUUCACACCUCCGUUUGUUUUACUUGCAAAAAUGCAAAAAGCAUCUCCAACUACCGUCUGGGUGUCUUUGAUCUAACUGACUGCAGCACGGGGCAAAAUUCACAGUCCUCAUUGGGCAUGGAGUUAGUUUUUUUCCGCUUUUUUCCAUGCUCAUCUUAAACGUAUGGCUACCUCCCCCUAAGCACAUAUUGGUCUGCUGCUUAGACAAAGCAGCAAUACUAAACCCACAUAUCUGCGAUUAAUCGCACAAAUGUCUUUAUGGCAGGAUUAAAAAUUGUAUUAGUUGCCAAGCGCAAACAAAUGUUUUAUUCCUGGUUUAGAGAUGUUUGUAGUGGAAAACAUACCUGCCAAGGGCACUGUCACUCAAUCCUCCGUUUGAUGAUGCCGGUCCAGAUAUAAGAAACAAUAUGACAUUCAAGUCAACCAGAGGUCCUAAUCAAAUGCUGAUUAUAUGAAUACACAAUUUGACUAUCUAUAACACCACACUGGAUGCCCUCUAGUGCCUCAGCUUCUGAAGACACUAGAAGUUGUUCAACAGUGAUCUGUAAAUCCAGUCUAGCCAUUACGUGUUACAUAUGUUAUAUAUUCCCGGACACAGAAUAUGACAAUAAGUAGUAGCAGCAUGGGUGAGAAAACUGUUUCUCAACUUGAUGAUUCUUGGAGAUUCACUUCUCAAUGACAGCACAUCACUGUUACUGCUGCUUCAUCUUUGAUCAGUCCUUCCAGGAAUCUUCUUUCACAAUUAUUAACACAAGUUUAACCAAUCUUUACAAAAUCGUAACAUUAGAGGCAUGCUUUUCUUUACUCUUUCUGACCCACAACAAUACAAGCACAAACCUCGACCUCAACAAACCAACUUCAUUACAAAUAUAUAAACAGCUCGAGGACUUUAUUUAAGUAAUUUUCUCAGAACGGAUAACUGUUUAUCUGACCACCACAGAUCUAGGAAAACAGCCCUGUUCCAGCAGACUACUUGAUGAUUUAGGACCAUAAACCAAUUGCUAUUUAUCAAUGAUCUUAAUGUGAUAUUUCAGAAAAAUUCAUUAUAUACUCAGAGAUUGAUUGCUGUGAACAUUUUGGGGGGAUUUUUAGUCACAAGCCAUUUCCUCAGUUCUUCGGUGUGUGUACACUGUGCUCCUAGUCUCAAAGCCUCAUUAGGUGAACAUAUGGAGGGAUCUGGAGCGGUGAUGUGGAGCAAAAACGAGCCUGACUCAGCACUCCUGACACUCAAUUACAGCUGGAGUUUAUUUCUUUUCUAUACUUCUUAAUAUAAUGGUUUAUGGCAAAAUGCACUAAAAUCCACCUGACUUGCCAUAUCUGAGAUAUUUUUAACGGCCUGCAGAUGAUUUUAUGUUUUCUUUACAAUAGAAAUUGGAUGGGCUUAAUUCAUUUUUACUCAUUUUCUUCCACAGAAGAAACCCUGGUAUCCCCACAGCGAAAACAACCUAGGUAGUUUGGUACUUUCCUCACAGUUAUAUUAACAGCACAUUUAAUGUCCCUUUCCAGUCAUUUAGAAUGGAAUUGAUUCAUUUUUUUUACUGUUAUUGUGUCUUUUUUAGGUAAUUUUGCAUAUCUUUAUUUUUUGUUUUUGCGUCUCUUUGUGUUUAACCUUUAUGGGGGACCAAGAGCAGCUGGUCACCAUCAAUGUAAACUUUCAUAAUUUGAUAACCCACUUCCACUCCCCACUUAGUAUUCUGUGAUGGCACUUAAUGGUACAUCUUAAAGCAACUUUUACUUGUAUAACACCACUGUAUAUGUCACUAUCCUGCCCAUUCACAACCAUUCAUACACUAAUGGCAGGGGCUACCAUGCAAUGUGCCUCCCAUAGACUGUGUAGAACAAGUGUCUAAUACCUGUUAUUGCGCUUUCACUAUAAUUUACUAAAUAGACAUCAUGCUCUAUUGAGAAAUAACUCAACCAAAAGAGUCAGACAAUAAACUUAUGCUUACAAUGUUUACUGAAGUAAUAAAUCAAGCGAGUCAUUUUCUCAUAGAUGUCUAUAUAAUAACCAGAAGAUGGCCCCUCGCUGGUCAGUAGAGAUGAUGCAGAUGAAGCACUUGAAAUAACUAUAACAGCAGCUUAAAAACUCGACAGUAUACUCAAGCUCUGGUGACGGCGGAGCGACAAAGUAUGCUUCCGACGGAAUAUUUAGUUUUUCUCUUUUGCAUAUUUUUAUGAGCGAUCUGAUUGCAUCACUUAAAAAACACUAGAUAUAUCCACCAAAAUGACUAAGUCAUUGUUAAAUUUAAUUUAAUAAUCAUAAAUGCAUGUUAACAGCUUAGUGUUCAGUGACAUUUAACAUGAGUGACAAAGCGGGCCCCUCCUCCUUGAGCCCCAAACUAAGAUAAUGUUAUGGUUUAUAAAAUGUCGAUAUUUGUGUUUUUGAAUUAUUAAAUGUCCCCAAUAAUAUUUGUAAAAUAUGAUAUCUGCGCAAAGUAUAUGCUUUUCCUGUCC
ensembl:lncRNA